GGCAGGGACAAGGGGAGUGCUCCAAAAGGAAGAUGAUUCAAGUUCUAUUUAAAGGCCGCCCUGUGGCCUAGGAAAAUCACUCUGUUGACUGAGACUGGAGAAAGGGCUUCUGCCAGCCUGGUGUGAAGGAUUUCUCCAGAGACCUCUGCAUGAUCAUAGGGAGAACGGGAGGAAGCAAUAUCUGAGGAUGGAGAGAAGGCGGUGACAGAGCAAUUUCUUCAGCCACGAGGAUUGUGUUGCUGCUGCCACCACACACACAGAUGGACAUUGGGAUUUCUGUGGCCAGCCAGGUCAGCCCCUGGGCUGCUGCCUGACCUGCCUAGCCUGACCCCUAGAGCUGUGGGUGGGCUCAUUCCUCAAUUAGUUAUGAUGUAGAAAGACCCCCGAGAGGCCACUGUCUGCUUCAUCAGAUGCACAAGGAAGUGGAUUUCAACUGACAAAGGAUAGGGCUGCCUUUGAAAGCUCCAUUUCACACAGUAUGUCAGUAAAGCCUCUUAACAUGCCACAAUGCUUUUUAUCCAUUUGUCGAGAUACUCUAAUUUAUAGAAUGUUUUCUUCUUUUUAUUCUCUGGCUUCCAGAGAUUAAAAAGGAAGCUUCUUUUUCUCCACUAAGAUGAGGCAGUUUAAAUGCAAAUAAGUCAGAAGGAUGUCCUGUUAUGUUUGUGAAUGCUACUAUUAAAAUUAUAUAUGGGCAUAUAUGCAUAUAUUGCUAAAAUACUUUCUUUUAGUAAGGGUGCCGAAAUCAAUGAAAGUCAAAAGUCUUUUUUCCCUAUUGUUUUGUUUUGGUUCUUUGGACAGCAAUGGUACUAAAUGAAUAGAUUUGAUUUAAUCCACUAAUACUUCAGAACAAGGCUUUGAUAUUCAGUAGUAUAUAUUUCAUUAUCAAUAUAUGAAGCGUGUAAUACCAUGCAGAUGUAGAGCAGAGUGUGCUGAACGGACUCUGCAUUUUAAUAAGGCACAUUUAUCUAAAUCAAGGGUUUAUUGCCCUAACUGACAGUUAUAAGCAGGGUGAUGUGGUGUGUGGUCUUCUAUAGGAAGGUUAAGUUACUGCUUUAAGGAGGAUACUUAGAAACUGUGGUGGAGACAUGUGAAAUUCUGAAUAUAAAUUUAGUUUACACUAAAUUAAAAACGGUUAGUGUGAAAACUGUUGUGUUUUUUCAUGGCUUGGUGAGAAAAAAUAAAAGAAAUUAGGAUUUUUAAAAAAUCAAUUUUUGCUGGAGGGAGCAUGGGGAGGAAGGUUGCUAAUGCUUACCUCCCUGCAGACAAUCCCUUGUUUCUCCAGGAGACAGGAUCUGUUCUCCUGGCCCUUGGAACUCCCAUAAUGGAUACCCAGAAUUAUGGGUAACCCCUCCUGUAUUCUACCAAAGACAACCAUAGGGCUCUCUCAUCAUCAGGAGUCAACACCAACUCGACGGCACACUUUACUUUACUUUACAGCAGUGAUGCAUGUAAACACUAAAAGCAGCUGGCGCUGCACACGAGCAGGGCAACGGGGCUUGAGGGAGUGAGCACUCCCUUAACCUCAUUUAAGAGGGUGGCUGUGCAGCCUGGUUUUCCACUGAAGCACUGUAGGCAGCCACCCGGCUGCUUGUGGUUCUUACGAGCAGUCAAGCCUGGGCUUGGCUUCCUUAGCCUGGUUUUGGCUGGUCGUAAGAACAGCCUCAAUGCAUUUUCCCCUCGAAUGUGUACAUUUUUACUAUUUUUUAUUGUUACAGCCAGCCUUCAGACAUUAAUAAUACUUCCAAUUAUUGAUUAAUGUAUUUAAAUGUAGAUUCUUUUAACACAGAAAUUGUUUGAAACAAUAAGCAGUUUACAUAUACAUGUAGCAAUAUCUAAUAUUGAAUAUUGUAGCCUUCUGUUAGUGUCUUUGUGCCAUAAAAUUCUACUCUUCU